UACGGAGGUGGCAAGCGUUGCUCGGAAUCACUGGGCGUAAAGGGCGCGUAGGCGGGGAGGUAAGUCGGGUGUGAAAUCCCUCGGCCCAACCGAGGAACUGCGCCCGAGACUGCUUCUCUUGAGUCCCGGAGAGGAAGAUGGAAUUCCCGGUGUAGCGGUGAAAUGUGUAGAGAUCGGGAGGAACACCAGUGGCGAAGGCGGCGACCUGGGCCAAUACUGACGCUGAGGUGCGAAAGCGUGGGGAGCAAACAGG
rnacentral:rRNA from 1 species